GAUGAACGCUAGCGGGAGGCCUAACACAUGCAAGCCGAGCGGUAUUGUUUCUUCGGAAAUGAGAGAGCGGCGUACGGGUGCGUAACACGUGUGCAACCUGCCUUUAUCUGGGGGAUAGCCUUUCGAAAGGAAGAUUAAUACUCCAUAAUAUAUUGAACGGCAUCGUUUAAUAUUGAAAGCUCCGGCGGAUAGAGAUGGGCACGCGCAAGAUUAGCCAGUUGGUGAGGUAACGGCUCACCAAGGCGAUGAUCUUUAGGGGGCCUGAGAGGGUGAUCCCCCACACUGGUACUGAGACACGGACCAGACUCCUACGGGAGGCAGCAGUGAGGAAUAUUGAUCAAUGGGUGCAAGCCUGAACCAGCCAUCCCGCGUGAAGGACGACUGCCCUAUGGGUUGUAAACUUCUUUUGUAUAGGGAUAAACCUACCCUCGAGAGGGUAGCUGAAGGUACUAUACGAAUAAGCACCGGCUAACUCCGUG
rnacentral:rRNA from 1 species